GAUGAACGCUGGCGGCGUGCCUAAUACAUGCAAGUCGAGCGAACAGAUAAUGAGCUUUCUCCUUUGACGUUAGCGGCGGACGGGUGAGUUACACGUGCAUAACCUACCUAUAAUACUUGGAUAACUUCGUGAAACCGCUUCUACUACCGCCUAACAUAUUCAACGGCUUGGUUCAAUGGUUAAUGGCGCCUUGCGUGUCACUAUUAGCUGAUUCCGCGCCGGAUUAGCUAGUUGGUAAGGUACCGGCUAACCAAGGCAACGAUACGUAGCCGACCUGAGAGGGUGAUCGGCCACACUGGAACUGAGACACGGUCCAGACUCCUACGGGAGGCAGCAGUAGGGAAUAUUGCGCAAUGGGCGCAAGCCUGACGGAGCAACGCCGCGUGAGUGAUGAAGGUCUUCGGAUUGUAAAACCCUGUUAUCAGGGAAGAAAAAAUGUGUAAGUAACUGUGCACAUCUUGACGGUACCUGAUCAGAAAGCAACGGCUAACUACGUG
rnacentral:rRNA from 1 species